rnacentral:rRNA from 1 species
UACAGAGGGGGCAAGCGUUGUUCGGAAUUACUGGGCGUAAAGCGUGCGUAGGCGGUUUGCCGUGUCCUGUGUGAAAGCCCCGGGCUCAACCUGGGAAUUGCAUGGGAAACUGGCAGGCUUGAGUGUGGCAGAGGAGGGUGGAAUUCCGCGUGUAGCAGUGAAAUGCGUAGAGAUGCGGAGGAACACCGAUGGCGAAGGCAGCCCUCUGGGCCAACACUGACGCUCAGGCACGAAAGCGUGGGGAGCAAACAGG